rnacentral:rRNA from 1 species
GACGAAAGUCUGACGGAGCGACGCCGCGUGAGUGAAGAAGGUUUUCGGAUCGUAAAGCUCUGUCUUUGAGGACGAAUGUGUCUAAUGUGAAUAAUGUUAGAUAAUGACGGUACUCGAGGAGGAAGCCACGGCUAACUACGUGCCAGCAGCCGCGGUAAUACGUAGGUGGCAAGCGUUGUCCGGAAUUAUUGGGCGUAAAGCGCGCGCAGGCGGGAUAUUAAGUCUGUUUUAAAAGUUCGGGGCUCAACCCCGUGAUGGAAUGGAAACUAAUAUUCUUGAGUGCAGGAGAGGAAAGUGGAAUUCCCAGUGUAGCGGUGAAAUGCGUAGAUAUUGGGAGGAACACCAGUGGCGAAGGCGACUUUCUGGACUGUGUCUGACGCUGAGGCGCGAAAGCCAGGGGAGUGAACGGGAUUAGAUACCCCGGUAAUCCUGGCCGUAAACGAUGGGUACUAGGUGUAGGAGGUAUCGACCCCUUCUGUGCCGGAGUUAACGCAAUAAGUACCCCGCCUGGGGAGUA